UCCCUACCUAUGCUGAUUGCCGUGAGAG
rnacentral:sRNA from 1 species